AUGCUCGCUUUGGCAGCACAUAUGUUAAAGUUGAAAUGACACAGAGAAGAUUAGCCUGGCCCCUGCGAAUGGAUGACACACAAAUUCAUGAAAUAUUCUGUAUUUUA